UUAACUCAAAUUUGUAUGGAGUUGGAACAGCUCGAUUCGUUUGCCGCUAGGGGCGCUGUUCUAACUCCAUACAAAUUUUAGUUA
rnacentral:pre_miRNA from 1 species